AUUCUAGCAAUUCUUCAAAUUCUGAAUUUGUUCUUUCAAAAACUAUUGAAUCAAUUCUUUAAUAGAAUAAGUUCAUCUCGUUGAACCCAAAGAAUUGAUUCAGAAAUUUGCAUCCAAUUACACCUACCACUUCUUAAAGCAUCGAUUCAAUUGCAUCUUCCUAAUUAGUGCAUUCUUUGUGGCGGUGAUGAAAUAUAGAUCUCCAGGGAGUAGCAGAAGAAUCUCUCGAUGAUGAAAAUGGGAAUUGAGGUACUAAAAGCAAAGUUAAGCAAAGGUAAUUUUUCUAAUUUCAAAGUUCUAAGUUUCCAAUUUCUUUGCUCAAUAUAUUUACCCAUCUGUUUGUACCGAGGUUGUAACAAUAAUAACUAAGGCGUUUGGGGAGAA